GACGGGGGGAUGCAAGUGUUGUCCGGAAUCACUGGGCGUAAAGCGUCUGUAGGUGGUCAAAUAAGUCAACUGUUAAAUCUUGAGGCUCAACCUCAAAAUCGCAGUCGAAACUAUUAGACUAGAGUAUAGUAGGGGUAAAGGGAAUUUCCAGUGGAGCGGUGAAAUGCGUAGAUAUUGGAAAGAACACCGAUGGCGAAGGCACUUUACUGGGCUAUUACUAACACUCAGAGACGAAAGCUAGGGUAGCAAAUGGG
rnacentral:rRNA from 1 species